rnacentral:rRNA from 1 species
AAUGAACGUUGGCGGCGUGGAUUAGGCAUGCAAGUCGAGCGAGAACCCGCAAGGGGGACAGCGGCAAACGGGGUAGUAACGGGUAGGUGACGUACCCUCCGGUCGGGGAUAGCCACGGGAAACUGUGGGUAAUACCCGAUAACCUUUCAGAGCAUAACGGCUUUGAGAGCAAAGGUGUGAUUCCACCGGGGGAGCGGCCUGCUUCGUAUUAGCUAGUUGGUGAGGUAACGGCUCACCAAGGCGACGAUGCGUAGGGGGUGUGAGAGCAUGACCCCCACCACUGGGACUGAGAUACUGCCCAGACACCUACGGGUGGCUGCAGUCGAGAAUCUUCGGCAAUGGGCGCAAGCCUGACCGAGCGACGCCGCGUGUGGGAUGAAGGCCCUUGGGUUGUAAACCACUGUCAGAGGGGAUGAAGUGCCAGCCAGCAAUCUGGUUGGUUUGACAUAGCUUCAGAGGAAGCACGGGCUAAGUUCGUGCCAGCAGCCGCGGUAAUACGAACUGUGCGAACGUUAUUCGGAAUCACUGGGCUUACAGGGUGCGUAGGCGGCUUGCUAAGUAGGGUGUGAAAGCCCCCGGCUUAACCGGGGAAUGGCGCCCUAAACUGGCGAGCUGGAGUGAGAUAGGGGUGUGCGGAACUUCCGGUGGAGCGGUGAAAUGCGUUGAUAUCAUCUGGAAUACCGG